UACGUAGGGUGCAAGCGUUGUCCGGAAUUAUUGGGCGUAAAGAGCUCGUAGGCGGUCUGUUGCGUCCGCUGUGAAAACUCGGGGCUUAACCCCGAGCCUGCAGUGGAUACGGGCAGACUAGAGGUAGGUAGGGGAGAAUGGAAUUCCCGGUGUAGCGGUGAAAUGCGCAGAUAUCGGGAGGAACACCUGCGGCGAAGGCGGGUAGCUGGGCCGACACUGACGCUGAGGCGCGAAAGCUAGGGGAGCGAACGGG
rnacentral:rRNA from 1 species